rnacentral:rRNA from 1 species
UUCCGGGUUAUGCCUGGGAGUAUGCCUGUAUCAGUGUCCGUACAUCAACCUUGGCUUCCUUCCUUCCGUGUAGUCGGUGGCGGGGACGCGCAGACGUGA